GUCACGGGAGCACGAGUCAAAAUUCGUGGAAGCCCUGUCAACAUCCGCGCUGUCAACAUCCGCCCUAGAAACAUCCGCGUCAACGCUUUCUGUUUUGCACGGUGUGCGGCGUGCAUGUGGGGGAAGAUGCAAAGUGCCACCUACAGCAACCGACGCAACACAAGAUGAGAUCUUCAGCUCCAGCUGAUCAAACUGCACCCAGAGGAGAAACAAAGAGCACAGUGUCUGGUUCUCCCGGCGCACAGGUGAACAUCUACCACAUUUGUUUUGCAAAGGCUGGAGCUGCCAGCAGAGCUGCGCAGCCCGAGACAGAAACACGACCCUGCACCUUCCUGGCUGGAGGAUGCUGGAGGAAACCACUUUCUGCGACAGACCCGACGGACUGUUAGCUCAGGACCCUGCCGCUGGUUAAGGCUGAACGCUGCGGUAGCUUCCCUCCAGUCUGUCCUCUAACAACAGGACAGGGUCCAUGUUGACCUCACGCUGAGUUUCGCUCAGACCAGCAGCAGCUAACGCAGCUAACGGAGGAUGCACAUGACAGUUGCCACGAAAAAAAAAACACAAAAAUAAACAUGCAC